GUUAAGUAGAGGGACACACAUUAACAGCGUGAGGAAAGCAUCAAAACCAGACAUUUGAGCAGGGUUGAAGGAAGGAGUACAACUGUGGUGGGGCAGAAGAUAAGACUGAAAAACAGGAGAAAGACUUGGCAAUAGCCGAGGCAGAAAAAUAUUGCUGCUUUUAGAACAAGGUGGUAGUGUUGCACUACUGAUGUAGACAAUAUUAAUAAAAUAAAUAAACAUUUAAAACUUUUGCAUUAGUUUAGAUAUUUUCAUUUACUCAAAAUCAGUAUUAUUUGAGGUCCAGGGCUGUUAUUCCCAGUGCCUAGAUCUUGUUCGUAUGAUACAGCAACAGGAUUAUACAGACAAAUGCUACUCUCUUGAAAAGAGUAAUAAUGGAACAGAUCCUCAAAUUGUUAGUAUUUUGGUCUCACUUCUUCUACAUAGUGUUUAAAAAAAGUAAAUACAGUAAUAGAAAUCUCUAACUAUGUCUCUCUACUUAAAAGUUGAUCAAAUACUGAAAGUAAGACAACGAUACAAAUAUACCCUCUCAUAACACCUAAGGAUGUAUGAUCUGCAUUCCUCUUUCAAAACUCACCCUGAAGAAUAAAAUAAAAUGUCUUACUUCUGAAAUACUGAAAAAUUUCAGGUUCAAAACUGAAUGACGGAAUUCAGACACAAGUUUGCAAAUAACAGAGAAGAUCACCAUCUAGAGGUCAUGAGAAUAAAAAAUGAAAGAAUGAACGCUAUCUACAUCCCUGUCUUACUCUGUUGGUUCAAUAGUAAAGGGAAUUUCAGUAUUUUUUCUAGUCAUACACUCCUAAAAAAAAAUUAAUUAUGCUAAAUGGAGGGACACAAAACUCAACCACCUCUGCAGGUGGAGAUUUUUAAGAGCACAGAAUGCAGGCUCUUAUUCAUAGCUCAUGAAAAUGCAAAGCCAAUAGUAGUGACUAUGUUGAAAAAUAGCAUUUUUUAGCUGAGAAAGUGCUGUAUAAAAUAGUGUUAUUGAGCUCGUUGCACUGGUUCUAGUUUACGUGGAAAUAAAUAGGAACCAUUAAUUUAACAUGCAACACAAGAUAAUUACUCUUCACUCAAUGCAACCAAGACAAGCAAGAUGGUUGGAUAACGAGUCAAACAUUUCAACUUUUAAUUGGACUUGCAGGCCUUCCAAAGCAUUGCAUUUGUAGCAGUGAAGAAUUCUUUCAAAGGAAUUUGACCAAAAAUAUGAAUGACAGCUGCCUACUGGGAGCAUGGGAGGUGAACCAUGACUUUUCUCGCAGGUGCUCAGUGCUGGAAGGACAAGGAGCACUGGGCUCACACUGGAGAAUUAACAACUCCCAGUCAGACAAAAGGAAAGGACUGCCACCAUGAGGGUGCUCAGAAGUGGAACUGGUGCCCAGAGAGGCUGCAGGUCUCUGUCCUCCCCAGGGCGUCCCAUCUUAACUGAACUUGGCUGAAUCAAACCCACAGCAUCAACAUUCAAUCUUCUAAACAUGCCACCUGUACCAGAGGCCUUCAGGAAAAAGGAUGAGCCAAAGGGAGAAAAUAUGUGAAUUGGCUGAGAGGGGACACCCGCCCCUGUUAGUCCACUGGGCAGCUUAAUAGUUGGUGCCAUCUCUUGCCAUCUAGACAAGGCAGGAAAGCAAAACUCUGGAAACAUCCAGGAGAAAGGAACACAUUGGGAUCACCUGGUACCAUGUUAGCAUAGGCACAGCAAGCCAUCACCUGACAUGUGAAUACAAGUGACUUCGGCCUUAGUUCAACAACAGUCUGUACAUGCUCUUGGCACAUCAUUUGCAAUUCAGUCACUGCACAGGAAACAAAGACCUCCCUUUCCACUUCACCUGAUGACAGGGUCUAAACACUUUCAUGCUGCUUGAGGUACACAGGGAUCAACUGAUGGGGGACAGACACCUAUACACCUGUGCCCCUGCCCCUAAGUUCUCUUUUCAAGAGCGCUAUACCAGAGACAGCAGAGAUUGAGUCUGUCCAAACUACUUCUCAGGAGACGUGACUGAUGACCAGCUGUUCUUUGGGCACUGCCACAGAGGGCCUGGCUUCACCUUCAACCACCCAUUCUGUGGCCAAGGAGAGAACAGGCUGAGGAUAGCAACCCCUAAUCGGCCUUCCCAUCCUCCAGGUGGAAAACCCCAGCACCAGGCCCCAAGGACCUCACAGGCCCUCCAACACACGCCAAUGCAGGCCCAGUGCGGCCAGCCAGAGGAUGCCAGGCCCUCUCCUCCACACCCCUCUCCUUUGGCAUGAGGGCAGAAGAGAUGCCACCUUCUCAUGCUCCAGGGCCAGAGCUGAGGGAUGGGAAAGGACAGCCCAUACAACCCCUGAAACUCAACGGUUUUUAACGAUUACAUCUCCCUUGGCUGUCUGUAGGGUAUCAGUAUGCUUUGCUCCCACUCUGCCACUGUUGGCACCAGGACAGCUCCACCCCAGGCAGCUGCAGGGUGUCUGAGAACGCCCUGCCCUGACCCUCUUGGUACAUUCCAAGCAGCUGCAGGGUGCUUGAGAACCCCCAUCCCUGACCCUCUUGGUACCUUCUUACAACUGUCCUGCAUUCCCUCAGUCACUGAGCGGACACAGACAGUGGCAGUUGGUCUCCUCGUGAGAUACGCAAGGAGUGUUUCUUUCAAGAACUGAGGAUGGAGCAUCCACCUCUAAAGAAGAGGCGGCUGAUGGAUAUGGGCGAUGACAUCGAGCCCAUGGAGGUGGACCCGCCUGACAGUGAUGGAGAGCCCAUGGAGGUGGAUCCACCUCUGGAGGAUGACCUAAUGGAAGUGGAUCCACCUCCAGCGGGGCAGUCUGGCAUUCACUCCGUCACCGCCAGGCCAGUCAGGAAGAGAUCAUGCCCCAAAUUUCAUCGCAGGGGCACCAGGAUCCGUCCACCUCCCGCGAAACGGCCGCCUCGAUGCUGGCGCUGAUCCUCCCGUCCUCCAAGGCUCCUACGAGCCCUUCCUUCACUUCCCCCUCCCUCAUCCUUUCCCAAGCCCUCUCAUCUCUUCUUCACCAAGUCCUGAGGAAGAGGGCAGGGCAGGGACUGCCAUCUUCAGAGCUGCUGUGCUGGGGCAGUGGGAGGAGUCCAGCAGAGGGACCUCGACUGCCAGGGGCCUUGAACAUCGCAGGGGCACAAGGAUCCCCCAAGGCUCCCGUGAGCCCAUCCUUCCUGUCACCCUCCCUCAUCCCUCCCAGGCGGAGAGGAGGGAUAAAAAGAAGUCACAGAUGCAGCUGUUCCUGUGGAGAACGAGACUUUGGUUGAGAAAGGAGCAAGUGCUAAACUUCAGCAGGAAGAUCCAGUCCAGAUGCUUCAUUUGGACUUUCUUCUCAAGAGGACCAUCAACAAUUUAAAAUAACAGUACAAAAUAAGAAAAAAGUAAAAAG